rnacentral:tRNA from 1 species
GGGGAGGUCGCCUAGUCCGGCCUAGGGCGCGGCCCUCGAAAUGCCGUAGACAGCAAUGUCUCGUGGGUUCGAAUCCCACCCUCCCCGCCA